AAUAAUAUCGACACGAUAUCCAUAGUGGGAAUAAAUUCCAUGUGGAAAGCCUUUCCAUGAAUUAUUAAGUAAAGCAACUUGUCGUUUAGGACGGUUAUGGAAAAAAUUGGAAGUAACACAAGACGCUUUGUCAUAGAGUCUAUUGCCGUUUCGAACUUUCGAUUCAUUGUCUGGUUCAGCAUUAAUUCGUUGUGCGUUUGUGUAAAUUGCAUUGUGAUGUAAAAUGGAGGGAAAAACAUCCACUUGGAAAGACAAAGGAAUUUGAGAUUGACAAUCCAAAAUUUGGAGGUUCAUAUAAUUCUUUGAGAUUCCUGACUCGGGAGAAGUCAUGAACAAGCUGCUAUUAAAGCCAAAUAAACCGAGAUUUCUACUCGACAGGUCAAUGAAUGAGUUCUAUACUGUCAGAAGUCAAGUCAAUUACCCCAAGCUUCAAACACCCUACAGAAGUGGCUCAGAACAAUAGGAUGCACAUUUCUCUUUCAAAUUUGCAGAAUGCAGUCUUCCUGCUGGAUUAGGUUGAGAAAUUUAGGCAGGUGCCCAUCCAUAUCUUUAGAGAAAAUAAUGUGGCGGCGCGAUCAACUCUCCUGGUCAUCGUUUUUUUUUAAAUUUUUAUUAAUAAUGUUUAGUCGAUUAGCCAAACGUGAAUGCGACAAGAGCAGAUUUCCGUUCGACAUGGGAAAACUGGACUUACUAUUUUCCAUCGACUCAGCAAUUUGGGACAGCCAUGUUGGGGCAGUCAUGUUUGAAAUAAAGUUGAAGGAUGGUCAGCUGGAUUAGCAGGCUUGCUUGUAUGGAACAUCUAGAAAAGAUGGAGAAUAAAAGCUAGCUACUACUCCAACAUGAUUAAGGAGCUACUUGAGUUGGAUUACUGCUGCUGAUGCUGGACGCGUCAUUUAAAGGAAUAAUCCAGCGGAUCGCAAUCUUCCCGGAAGUUGGAAAUCAUCCUCCAGUACUCAACUGUUUUCUGCUUGUACAAUGUAUAGUCCUGGAAUCCCAUUGGAGUAUUGCACCACCACCAGUACAACGUUUCGGAAAACAGAGGAGAAAUGAUAGAAUGAAGGCUCGAAAUAUUGAUGAGACAAGGUGUCAACUGUUCUCUCGCCAGCCUUUAGCGUCGUUAUCAACAUUAAACCUCUUAGCGCAUCUCCUCUGCCGAGUUAGUUAAAGGCAGUAGCCAACGUUCGAGUACUACGGCGUACGAGAAUGUCCCACGUCUUACGAUGAUAACAGAUCUGACAUCCCCAACGAAUUUAUCUCAGGUGAAAAGCUCCAACGACGCAUCCGCACGAUCCGGGCAACUUGAAUUUUUCAAUGGCGAAAGGGAAAGUGUAGUCUUUUGGGUUGUAGACCAAGAAGCGAUGGAAAAUAUUUUUCUGGACGCACUUGGACUCGUAGCAGGAC